CUGGCUCAGGAUGAACGCUAGCGGCAGGCUUAACACAUGCAAGUCGAGGGGCAUCGGGAGGGAAGCUUGCUUUCCUUGCCGGCGACCGGCGCACGGGUGAGUAACACGUAUGCAACCUGCCCUCUUCAGGGGGACAACCUUCCGAAAGGGAGGCUAAUCCCGCGUAUAUCGGUUUCGGGCAUCCGAGAUCGAGGAAAGAUUCAUCGGAAGAGGAUGGGCAUGCGGCGCAUUAGCUAGACGGCGGGGUAACGGCCCACCGUGGCGACGAUGCGUAGGGGUUCUGAGAGGAAGGUCCCCCACACUGGUACUGAGACACGGACCAGACUCCUACGGGAGGCAGCAGUGAGGAAUAUUGGUCAAUGGGAGAGAUCCUGAACCAGCCAAGCCGCGUGAGGGAAGACGGCCCUAUGGGUUGUAAACCUCUUUUGUCGGAGAACAAAACCCGGGACGUGUCCCGGACUGCGUGUAUCCGAAGAAAAAGCAUCGGCUAACUCCGUGCCAGCAGCCGCGGUAAUACGGAGGAUGCGAGCGUUAUCCGGAUUUAUUGGGUUUAAAGGGUGCGUAGGCGGUCCGUUAAGUCAGCGGUAAAAUUGCGGGGCUCAACCCCGUCGAGCCGUUGAAACUGGCAGACUUGAGUUGGCGAGAAGUACGCGGAAUGCGCGGUGUAGCGGUGAAAUGCAUAGAUAUCGCGCAGAACUCCGAUUGCGAAGGCAGCGUACCGGCGCCAGACUGACGCUGAGGCACGAAAGCGUGGGGAUCGAACAGGAUUAGAUACCCUGGUAGUCCACGCAGUAAACGAUGAAUGCUGGUUGUCCUGGUCGAAUGAGAUCUGGGCGGCGAAGCGAAAGCGAUAAGCAUUCCACCUGGGGAGUACGCCGGCAACGGUGAAACUCAAAGGAAUUGACGGGGGCCCGCACAAGCGGAGGAACAUGUGGUUUAAUUCGAUGAUACGCGAGGAACCUUACCCGGGCUCAAACGGGAGUGGAAUGGACCAGAGACGGUUCAGCCUACGGGCCGCUUCCGAGGUGCUGCAUGGUUGUCGUCAGCUCGUGCCGUGAGGUGUCGGCUUAAGUGCCAUAACGAGCGCAACCCCCGCCGGCAGUUGCUAACGGGCAAUGCCGAGGACUCUGCCGGGACUGCCGCCGCAAGGCGUGAGGAAGGCGGGGAUGACGUCAAAUCAGCACGGCCCUUACGUCCGGGGCGACACACGUGUUACAAUGGGCGGUACAGCGGGAAGCCAGGCGGCGACGCCGAGCGGAACCCGAAAGCCGUUCUCAGUUCGGAUCGGAGUCUGCAACCCGACUCCGUGAAGCUGGAUUCGCUAGUAAUCGCGCAUCAGCCAUGGCGCGGUGAAUACGUUCCCGGGCCUUGUACACACCGCCCGUCAAGCCAUGGGAGCCGGGGGUGCUUGAAGUGCGUCGCCGUGAGGCGCGCCCUAGAGCAAAACCGGUGACUGGGGCUAAGUCGUAACAAG
rnacentral:rRNA from 1 species